CAAUAGCGUAUAUUAAAGUUGUUGCAGUUAAAAAGCUCGUAGUUGGAUUUGUGGCGUACGGUGUGUUCCGGGCACUUGUUGUCUGAGUAACCUGCUGUUGCCAUCCUUGGGUGGAACCUGUGUGGCAUUAGGUUGUCGUGCAGGGGAUGCCCAUCAUUUACUGUGAAAAAAUUAGAGUGUUCAAAGCAGGCUUAUGCCGUUGAAUAAAUUAGCAUGGAAUAAUGAGAUAGGACUUUUUUGCUAUUUUGUUGGUUUGCGCAAGAAGGUAAUGAUUAAUAGGGACAGUUGGGGGUAUUCGUAUUCCAUUGUCAGAGGUGAAAUUCUUGGAUUUUUGGAAGACGAACUACUGCGAAAGCAUUUACCAAGGAUGUUUUCAUUAA
rnacentral:rRNA from 1 species